AGCUUUCUCAUGCUAAUAGGAUGUUUGUGUUCUGGUUCCUGUUAGAAGCCUUACCUUUUCUGAGGCUCUCGGCAGUGAAUUCCAGCAGGGUUCUCAUUAAUAUAAAUUCCUGUGUGCUUGCAGGUCUUUAAAUUACACUUGUUAAUGCACACGUUGCUCUGCAUGUGAAUUUUGUGGGAUCAAACCCAAGGAGCAAUUAUGAUGAUAGAUGUAAAUACUAGAAUGUGUGGAGGCCAUUAAUUAACUGCGUGGAUGUUUUACUACAAAUGCUUAUCACAUGGAUUUUUUCUCUCUCAUAUCUUCUGAACUAGCAGUCUGCUAUUUAUGAAAUUUGAAAGAAAGGCAAAAAAUCUAAAAGAAAUUAACUCUUUGUAUAUUUAGUAAAAAUAUAAAUCCAGACAGAGAAGGUAAAUGUCUGUAACAGCCUCACUGAGAGAAAGUAUUUUAGAUUCCACUUUGCACGGCAAAACACACAUACAAGAUCAUAAUUAAAUAAAAAUACUUCAUCUUAGCUUGAUCUAUGAUAAAAUUCACAGUAAUUAAUUCAGAAUAAUGAGGGAAAAAAGCUUAUUUUGAUUGUUUUCAGGAUAAAUGUUACCAGUGUGUAUGAUGUAGAUGUAGAGCCUGAAGAUACAUAUGUAAAGUUGACAGAAAAAUAAAAUAAUCCUACAGAUCAUGAUCUGUCAUGUUGGUCUUUGAAAAGAAUUGGGGUUUUUUUAUAAGUUUGAUUUGAAUUCUGGCUAUCCUUCUGAGCUAGAAUUAUGUUCAGCAGCGAGACUUCAUUUUCUUUCAAUAUAAACAUACAGAGUAGCCAUGCAUUACAUUUAUAGGGUCCAAUAUGUCAAGGUGCCUUAAGCACAUAUGAUGCUUAAGCAUAUCAACUGUCCUUUAUACAGAUGUAUUUCUAGAUCAUGGAGCGCCUCAGGAGAUGGAAUCCACUAAAUGCAUAAGGAAAAUGGUUAUUUUAGCUUUAAAAAAACAAUAACAUAUCACAGUGGGCCUAUAUAUAUAGCUAUUUCACUUGAGGGCAAGGCAAAAUUUGUUCUUUAACUUCAACACACAAUGGUCCUGAUAGGGAGUCUUUUUUCAUAUUGAAAUAUUAUAUCUUUUGACGGCUGCAAACACUCAAUCUAUAAGCCAUGUUUUCUCUUACACUUUUCAGUCACAUUCUCUAAGACUGGAUAUAUCAUUACAAAGACACAGCUUAUGGAUAUUUCAUGAGGUAUACUCCUUACAUUAUACAGGGGGAAAAAAACCUGAAACAAAACAACCCAGUGUUCAAAUUGUACUUGUUAGAAUUAUAAUCUAAUUGGUUUCACUUCUUUGAUUACUUUUCUAUAGUAUUUAAUUAGAUUCUAGUUCAUGGUUGAUGUGUUCUCAGGUCAUCUGAGAUAGGUCAGCCAAAGCUGUCAUGUACUAACCUUAACUAUGCAUAGUAUUCUGCUUUGUAUAACUUAGUUUCUCACAGAAUCAUAUUCAAUAAAGGACAUACUAUAGACAUUUCCAAAAGAAUUACUGACAAGAUAGCACUACUUGCUGACAGGUCAAAAGUGAGACAUAGAUAUUGUCAAAAUAUAUAACAAGUAACCCUAUCUGACACACUUCAGUUUCUUUCACUUUUCUGCAGAUUUUUUUUAGAAUCCUAACACUUUUUUUUUCUCCUUGUGCCUUGCUCAAUCAACUUGGAUACUCUUUUCUUAGUUAUUGAUUCUGACUGGGCAGGUUUUUUCAAGAUAUACUACAGUUGUCUAAGUCUUCUGUUUCAGAAUGUUUGUGCCCCAAAUAUCUUUACUAGUUAAACAGACUUUGGUGGUAAAAGGUAUUCUAACAAUGGAGUAUCUAGAUUCACUUACAUCUGAGACUUUAUCAGCAGUGAAGAUUUAGCUGUUAGAUACGGAAGGUAGAAUUAAUUAUAACAUAAGAGAUUAUUUCAAAAAUGGUUCAACUGAAAAUGUCUAAAAUUUCCAUAUGCAUUUCCUGGCUAUUAGGAUGACUGAGCAUUAGUAGCUCAGACAUAGGUCUAUUUUGAAGAUGCCUAGAUUCAAAUUAAGUGAUGCUCAUUUCCAAUAUUGGUUUAAUGACUGUGUAGUAAUUCCCCCAUUGCUUAAUUUUCAGUAUUGAUUAAUUAACUAACUAAAUUAUUUAAUUAUUUAAUUAUUUAAUUAUUUAAAUUUUGCCAGUGUUCACACAAAUUGUCAAAUGCCUGCCCAGGUAAGUGAGCAUAGGGUUAACAGAAUGACAUUUGCCUUAUGAAUUUAAGUUUUAUGAUUAAAACAUUUUUGGUUGUUGGAAGACUUGGCUUCCAGCGUAAAAUUUUCAGGAACUAUACCUCUCAGCCUAGAGAGAAUAAACUGUCAUGGCCCACAUUUUGGGAAAGUGCUCUCUUGACUAGGUUAUAAGACAUUCAGAAAAAAAAGAGAUUCACUGCAGCCAAGUAUCCAGGUCCAGCUUUUGUCAUAAUACUAGUUUAGUGAAUUCCCUUUAAAACUUGAAAUAUUCUGUAAAAUCUGUCUUCAUUAUAUAUCCUCUUGUCCAAAGUGCAGAGUGUACUCAUACUAACCCCAAGUCCAACCUCCCUACCCACCCCAACAAGUGAAGUACACACUGCAACAGGUGCACACUGUUCCUGCCCUGUAGCCCUUGAGGACUGGUGCCCUCACCAUCACCUUUCAAAAUCACUGUGUUCCUCCUCCCGAGGCUGUGUUGUAGUCAGCCAGGAGUGAAAGAAGCAGAAAACAGAAAGGCAGAGUCUGAUUCUCUCAGUUUGAGCAGUCAGGUGCGAAACAGUGACAUCUGUGAUGAGAUGAAAGAAUCCCAUUCAUGCAAUUAGUUUUGUUUCAUUUUAUUCCUUUAUUCAUUUUCAUAUACUACUGCUGCAAAAUUUUCUGGUAAGGAUUGUGUCUGGACUUCUUCAAAGCUCUGUUUCAUUAGAUGUUCAUGUCAGCACUUAAAGAAUGCAAUAAAAUGUCUCAAACACUGACAAAGGAGGAAGUUCCCACAAGAUAAGCUAACUUAAGACAGGCACAGAUGGUAAAAAGGAAGGUGUUAAUUUUAGGCCUACAGAGAGGUGAAAGGUUUGGAAUUAGCACACCAGACAAGACUCUACUGUGCAGGCUGUGGAAAUAGCACAGAUGCAACAACAGGAAGAUGCCAAGCCUGGUGAAGCAGAUCUGGGUAACCUAUUGAGACAAAAAUGCCCACCACGGCAAACUGCGGGAAAGGAAGCAGCUGCUUAUUCACAUGCCAUCCCAACUUGUGUCAAUAUGAAUCUAACUUUCUAGAAGUGCAUAUCUUUUAAGAUAAGCAACCUAUUACAUAGUCAGUGGAGAGACAGUGCCCAAAGUCAUUGUGCUUAAUUUCCCUUUUGAGGUGUGCUUAUGACUCUACAUAAGAAUCAAGCUUCACUGAACUGGAGUUUUUCUGUUCUCUACUGAUUUCAUGUUGACAUAUUCACCCGACUUUAAAGAAAAAAUAUUUUAUUUUACCCUAGGCAAAUAAAAAUUAUCUACUUACAAAUGUAAAAUAGUCAAGCACACAAUACUCUGGGGUUUGGAUAUUUUUCCCUGUAAAUAUGUGUGUUUUGGUUGUUGUUUGUAUUUUUUUUUUUUAAUUAUACCUGAAAGAAUAGAAACCUAUCUAUUGAAUUUUCAUUGAGAUAUUAUGUUUUCUGUUCUGGGUCCUGGGUCUGAAGUUCUGGUGAUGAACUUAAGCAAUGUCCUUAAGCAGUGACAAUCACUGAAUCAUAAUACAGUUGAAUUUGGAAGGGAACUCUUGAGGUUAUCUUCUCCUGCCAUCCUGCUCAAGCUUACUUCUUAGAUUCAUGUCCAAACAAUUUAGAGUAUCUUCAAGGAGGAAAGUUCUACAACCUCUCUGCUUUUGCCUCUCCUUCAUGUUUAUCACAAAAUUACAUUUGCUACCACUUUUAAUAUAUUUACAAAUACACACUUAUAUGUUGCAGAGCAGAAUGAGUUAAAUGACAUGAGCAGCAUGGCUGAUUCGUUAAAGCUUGUGCAGCAGCAACCUUGAAGCUGAUCAGGUAGCACGACCUGUGACCAAGAUGAAACAUCUCAUCCUGUUCGCGCAUGCAGUGCAACCACAGCACACUCAGUUCACCAGGCAAGCAUGGUAGCAGUGAGCAGGUGCACAAGAAGACAAGAGGGAACACAGCCAGGAACACUCCAAUUUCUCUUUCCCAUCCCGCCUGGAUGACGGGGAGUGAGCAACAGGCUGCAUGGUUGCUGUUGCUGUCUGCAUGGUUAGUUGCUGUCUGUGACUAAUCAGGACAAGUGAUUCUAUAAUGCUGAAGUUUACACAGUUUGGCUGUACAAACUUUUUUGCAUCCUUUCAGUAUUCCUAAUAUGUUUGAAUUUAGUCUUCCUAAUAAUCAGUUGAGCAGGUAUUAGUAUUUCUAGUUUUUUGGUAGCAAAUUAACACAUAGAUGUUUAUGUUUAAGACAUAAAUAAUAAUUAAUAAAAAUAAAACUCAUUGUAUCUGCUU